rnacentral:miRNA from 1 species
AAAUGAAAAAAAAAAAUCUA